AGUUGUAUCCUGGCUCAGGAUGAACGCUGGCGAGAUGCUUUACACAUGCAAGUCGUACGCGAGUCUUUGACUCGAGUGGCGGACGGGUGAGUAACACGUAAGAAUUUGCCUUUAGGAGGGGGACAACAACUGGAAACGGUUGCUAAUACCCCAUAUGCUUUCGAGUGAAAUGGAUUUUUUCCGCCUAGAGAGAAGCUUGCGGCUGAUUAGCUUGUUGGUGAGGUAAUGGCUUACCAAGGCGACGAUCAGUAUCUGGUUUGAGAGGACGAUCAGACACACUGGAACUGAGACACGGUCCAGACUCCUACGGGAGGCAGCAGUGGGGAAUUUUCCGCAAUGGGCGCAAGCCUGACGGAGCAAUCUCGCGUGAGGGAUGACUGCCUAUGGGUUGUAAACCUCUUUUUUCAGGGAGGAAUAAAUGACGUGUACCUGAAGAAUAAGCAUCGGCUAACUCCGUGCCAGCAGCCGCGGUAAUACGGAGGAUGCAAGUGUUAUCCGGAAUCACUGGGCGUAAAGCGUCUGUAGGUGGUUUAAUAAGUCAACUGUUAAAUCUUGAGGCUCAACUUCAAAAUCGCAGUCGAAACUAUUAGACUAGAGUAUAGUAGGGGUAAAGGGAAUUUCCAGUGGAGCGGUGAAAUGCGUAGAGAUUGGAAAGAACACCGAUGGCGAAGGCACUUUACUGGGCUAUUACUGACACUCAGAGACGAAAGCUAGGGUAGCAAAUGGGAUUAGAUACCCCAGUAGUCCUAGCUGUAAACAAUGGAUACUAGAUGUUGAACAGAUCGACCUGUGCAGUAUCAAAGCUAACGCGUUAAGUAUCCCGCCNGGGA
rnacentral:rRNA from 1 species